AGGAAAGGAGUAAGCACAGCCUACCUCUAAAGUUAUGUAGAGGAAAGCAAAGCUAUAAAAAUAAUACAGAAACCAAGCAACAGCCUUCUGCUGGCAAGACACAGCUUGUAAUUGGGUGGGUGGCUGUGAAGAGCCGAGAUGAAUGCUGCAGAGCACUGUAAUUUUAUUGCACUGUGUCUGCUCUAAAGCGAGCAUAUUUGCAAUGAAAUCCGUAUUUCCGUGAGAACAGGGCAAUUGUUUUUUGUAACAAAGAUAACGUCACUUGUUGGCGGUCAAUUGAGACGCAAUUCCUCAGCCUUUAAAGCGAUUACUGUUCUCCUUCGCCUUUACUGGGGGGGAUCGUUGGGGGAAACAGUCAAAUGGAACAGGACUGAAAGGAGUUUGAGCCCAAAGUCCCAGAUUUGCAUUACAAGAGAAGAAAGUCUGUUUUGAAAUAAACACCAGCGUUUCACCUUUUCCUCCAUUUCUCUUCUUCAUAAAAACCCCAAGUAUGCACAUUACUUCUGGAAGUCAGAGGGUGGCUAAAGGACAACACCGUGAGUGUCUGUGCUGGGCAAACAGCACUCACUGUUCUGCUGAGGUGCUUUUAUUUGAAAUCACUUUGCUGCUCUCAUGUUCUUCACAUCCUCACCAGCCACAGGAACCAACCCCCAGGAAGGUGUCUGUGGGUGCUGUGGAAACAGGACCAAUUUCCUUCCAUUUCUGAGCUAACAAAGACUCAAUCCGGGAUUUCAAAGGUAAUAGAACCUCCCAGGCAGGGUGAAUCAAAAGCGAGAGGGGAGGAAGAAGAAGAAAACCCUGAAAAUCCCAAACUAAGCUGCAAGAACAGUGCACAGUUCUUGAAUUCCAGAGGCUUUGGUUCUUUCCACCACUGCCAGUCCUUUGAAACCCAUCUGCUAUCAACCCUCUUUGCAAGAUGAGAGGCAAACUGAGUUCCCAGGAGCAAACCUGGAUCUGUCUCCAUGGUUCAGUGCCUGUCUGACAGCCUGCCUUGCUAAGAGAGCCUGAAUUGAUUCAUCAUUGGCCACAGCCAGAGGAAGUGUGACAGUCUAUCCCUUACAGAGGCAGUGCCAGACAACCCUUGUGUUCCUCGUG